UACGUAGGAGGCAAGCGUUGUCCGGAAUUACUGGGUGUAAAGCGCGUGUAGGCGGCAGGCCAAGUCUGUGGUGAAAUCGCUCGGCUCAACUGGGCGGGGUCCAUGGAAACUGGUCAGCUGGAGGACGGUAGAGGAGAGUGGAAUUCCUGGUGUAGCGGUGAAAUGCGCAGAUAUCAGGAAGAACACCAAUGGCGAAAGCAGCUCUCUGGGACGGUACUGACGCUGAGACGCGAAAGCGUGGGGAGCGAACAGG
rnacentral:rRNA from 1 species